UCAGCUUUGAGCCCUUAUCUUUUUGCAUUGAUGAUGGAUGAGGUCACAAGGGGUAUACAAGGAGAUAUCCCGUGGUGUAUGCUCUUUGCGGAUGAUGUGGUGCUAGUUGACGAUAGUCGGACGGGGGUAAAUAGGAAGUUAGAGUUAUGGAGACAAACCUUGGAAUCGAAAGGGUUUAGGCUUAGUAGAACUAAAACCGAGUACAUGAUGUGCGGUUUCAGUACUACUAGCUGUGAGGAGGAGGAGGUUAGCCUUGAUGGCCAGGUGGUACCUCGGAAGGACACCUUUCGGUAUUUGGGGUCAAUGUUGCAGGAGGAUGGGGGUAUGAUGAAGAUGUGA
rnacentral:rRNA from 1 species